rnacentral:lncRNA from 1 species
GGGCAAUAUUAUUUUCUGAAGAGUGGAGUCCCUAUAGGUGUACUCUUAGCUGGGAUCAUGGCUGAGUUGGUGGUCAAAUAUAAGGAGUCUACUGUAUUAGUCUAUUAGGACAGAAUUUAAAAUGUACCUGAGUUAUGUUGAUGUCUGUGUAGUUUGGAACGACAGAGUUUGUGAGCAGUAUCUGGUAAAUAGUCUUAGUGACGAUACCUUAGGCCUUAGGAUAAGAGUAGAGCAGACUUCUGAUACCAGCUUUCAUUUUCUAGAUCUCCAAGUGGAUGUACAGAGUGGUGAAUAUGUUACUAGAAUAUAUAAAAAGCCACCUCUACCCCGGUGUUAAUACCUGCCUGGUUGUAUGACCCUAUACAAUAUAAACUUGCAGCUUUUUGAUCUUUGUUUACAGAGUCCACACACAUAUUGAAAAGAGC